rnacentral:rRNA from 1 species
GAUGAACGCUGGCGGCGUGCUUAACACAUGCAAGUCGAACGAAGCACUUUAUUUGAUUUCCUUCGGGACUGAUUAUUUUGUGACUGAGUGGCGGACGGGUGAGUAACGCGUGGGUAACCUGCCUUGUACAGGGGGAUAACAGUUGGAAACGGCUGCUAAUACCGCAUAAGCGCACGGCAUCGCAUGAUGCAGUGUGAAAAACUCCGGUGGUAUAAGAUGGACCCGCGUUGGAUUAGCUAGUUGGUGAGGUAACGGCCCACCAAGGCGACGAUCCAUAGCCGACCUGGGAGGGGGACCGGCCAAAUUGGGACUGAGACCCGGCCCAAACCCCGACGGGGGGCAGCAGUGGGGAAUAUUGCAAAAUGGGCGAAAGCCUGAUGCAGCGACGCCGGGUGAGCGAAAAAGUAUUUCGGUAUGAAAAGCUCUAACAGCAGGGAAGAAAAUGAAUGGACCUGACUAAGAAGCCCCGGCUAAAUCCGG